UGCGGAGCUUACCAUGCAGUCGAGCGGAACGAUGGUAGCUUGCUACCAGGCGUCGAGCGGCGGACGGGUGAGUAAUACUUAGGAAUCUACCUAGUAGUGGGGGAUAGCACGGGGAAAUUCGUAUUAAUACCGCAUACGACCUACGGGAGAAAGGGGGCAGUUUACUGCUCUCGCUAUUAGAUGAGCCUAAGUCGGAUUAGCUAGAUGGUGGGGUAAAGGCCUACCAUGGCGACGAUCUGUAGCUGGUCUGAGAGGAUGAUCAGCCACACCGGGACUGAGACACGGCCCGGACUCCUACGGGAGGCAGCAGUGGGGAAUAUUGGACAAUGGGGGAAACCCUGAUCCAGCCAUGCCGCGUGUGUGAAGAAGGCCUUUUGGUUGUAAAGCACUUUAAGCAGUGAAGAAGACUCUUCGGUUAAUACCCGGAGACGAUGACAUUAGCUGCAGAAUAAGCACCGGCUAACUCUGUGCCAGCAGCCGCGGUAA
rnacentral:rRNA from 1 species